CCUCAGAGAAGUCGAAGCAUCUACACCUCAGAAUCUGGGAAAGCUGAUGCCAAAUUGGGAAGGACCCUACGAAAUCACUGAAGUACCGAAGCCAGGGACUUAUCGUUUGAAGGCAUUAGAUGGAUCAGUAAUUAAAAACACUUGGCACGCUGGCAGGCUUAGAAAGUACUUUUAGUAGAUUCAAUGUCAGUACAUCGGAAGUCUGUAAAUAUUUACAUCAUCAUCAAUAAAAAUUCCUCUUUUCUCUCAAACAAAUUUUGUCUCUGUUGCUGCUCAGUUCAUUGGUGUUAGGAGGUUCGGGAGGACUCGCUGACCAUUCGAUGGUAGCCUCUUCGGCAGGUGGUCC
rnacentral:lncRNA from 1 species